rnacentral:lncRNA from 1 species
ACGAGAUUAUAGAUGAAAGUAGAGAAAAACGGUGGGCAGGGGCAGGGAGAGGAAAGGCCAGACAAAUGCAAUCAUUUCUCCAAAGGAUUUGAGAAGAGAUCAUUUAUUUGAAAUAUUCCUGCCAUGUUGAUGGAGCAGCUCAAUCUUUUGCCAGUGAAUUUUUAGCGUUUUGUUUUUUCAUUUGUAGAUAUGCUUGAACAUAUACUUAGGACACGUAAUAACUAUGGAACUUCAUCACAAACACAGCACUGAGGACAUGUUCUGAAUACAGACAAUAUGGAGGCCUCAGGCUCGGAGGAUGGCAGAGUCUUCAGAUGGAUGGAGGGAGCUGCAGUCACUGAACCACUGCAGGGAGAGAAGUACUCACAGACCUGGAACGCUCAACUUGGACUGUUAUGUGACAGAGUAACAAUAAACUUCUAUUUUGGUUUGAGUAAUGUUGUGUUUUGGGUUUAUCUGUUUCUGCAAUCUAGCUUACUACCUUAAUGAAUAUAAGCUUUCUUUCCAUUAAAAAAUUUAUUAAUG